CCUACGGGUGGCAGCAGUGGGGAAUAUUGGACAAUGGGGGGAACCCUGAUCCAGCCAUGCCGCGUGUGUGAAGAAGGCCCUCGGGUUGUAAAGCACUUUCAGUGAGGAAGAACGCCUGGUGGUUAAUACCCAGCAGGAAAGACAUCACUCACAGAAGAAGCACCGGCUAACUCCGUGCCAGCAGCCGCGGUAAUACGGAGGGUGCGAGCGUUAAUCGGAAUUACUGGGCGUAAAGCGCGCGUAGGUGGCUUGAUAAGCCGGUUGUGAAAGCCCCGGGCUCAACCUGGGAACGGCAUCCGGAACUGUCAAGCUAGAGUGCAGGAGAGGAAGGUAGAAUUCCCGGUGUAGCGGUGAAAUGCGUAGAGAUCGGGAGGAAUACCAGUGGCGAAGGCGGCCUUCUGGACUGACACUGACACUGAGGUGCGAAAGCGUGGGUAGCAAACAGGAUUAGAUACCCUUGUAGUC
rnacentral:rRNA from 1 species